rnacentral:tRNA from 1 species
GCUUCUAAAGGAUAAGAGUAAUCCAUUGGUCUUAGGAACCAAAAACUCUUGGUGCAAGUCCAAGUAGAAGCU